GGGCCCUUAGCUCAGCUGGGAGAGCACCUGCCUUGCACGCAGGGGGUCGUCGGUUCGAUCCCGAUAGGGUCCA
rfam:Mesoplasma florum L1 complete genome.